CGGGGUGAGUAACACGUGGGUAAUCUGCCUUAUACAGGGGGAUAGCAGUUAGAAAUGACUGCUAAUACCGCAUAAGCGCACGGAAACGCAUGUUUCUGUGUGAAAAACUCCGGCAGUAUAAGAUGAGCCCGCGUCUGAUUAGCUGGUUGGUGGGGUAACGGCCUACCAAGGCGACGAUCAGUAGCCGGCCUGAGAGGGUGAACGGCCACAUUGGGACUGAGACACGGCCCAAACUCCUACGGGAGGCAGCAG
rnacentral:rRNA from 1 species